rnacentral:rRNA from 1 species
CCUACGGGGGGCUGCAGUGGGGAAUAUUGCACAAUGGGGGAAACCCUGAUGCAGCAACGCCGCGUGAGGGAUGAAGGCCUUCGGGUCGUAAAGCUCUGUCCUAAGGGACGAUAAUGACGGUAACUUUGGAGGGAGCCCCGGCCAAAUACGGGGCCGGCAGCCGGGGCAAUACGUGGGGGCCUGGCGUUUUCCGGAUUUCCGGGGCGUAAAGGGGGCGUAGGCGGCCUUUCAAGUAAGAGGUGAAAGGCUACGGCUCAACCGUAGUAAGCCUUUGAAACUGUAGGGCUUGAGUGCAGGAGAGGAGAGUGGAAUUCCCAGUGUAGCGGUGAAAUGCGUAGAUAUUGGGAGGAACACCAGUUGCGAAGGCGGCUCUCUGGACUGUAACUGACGCUGAGGCACGAAAGCGUGGGGAGCGAACAGGAUUAGAUACCCGGGUAGUC